AAAUUGAAGAGUUUGAUCAUGGCUCAGAUUGAACGCUGGCGGCAGGCCUAACACAUGCAAGUCGAACGGUAACAGGAAGAAGCUUGCUUCUUUGCUGACGAGUGGCGGACGGGUGAGUAAUGUCUGGGAAACUGCCUGAUGGAGGGGGAUAACUACUGGAAACGGUAGCUAAUACCGCAUAAUGUCGCAAGACCAAAGAGGGGGACCUUCGGGCCUCUUGCCAUCGGAUGUGCCCAGAUGGGAUUAGCUUGUUGGUGGGGUAACGGCUCACCAAGGCGACGAUCCCUAGCUGGUCUGAGAGGAUGACCAGCCACACUGGAACUGAGACACGGUCCAGACUCCUACGGGAGGCAGCAGUGGGGAAUAUUGCACAAUGGGCGCAAGCCUGAUGCAGCCAUGCCG
rnacentral:rRNA from 1 species